rnacentral:rRNA from 1 species
GACGAACGCUGGCGGCGUGCUUAACACAUGCAAGUCGAACGGAAAGGCCCGGCCUUGGUGGGGUGCUCGAGUGGCGAACGGGUGAGUAACACGUGAGUAACCUGCCCUCGACUUUGGGAUAACUUCAGGAAACUGGGGCUAAUACCGGAUAUGAGCUCCUGCUGCAUGGUGGGGGUUGGAAAGUUUCGGCGGUUGGGGAUGGACUCGCGGCUUAUCAGCUUGUUGGUGGGGUAGUGGCUUACCAAGGCUUUGACGGGUAGCCGGCCUGAGAGGGUGACCGGCCACAUUGGGACUGAGAUACGGCCCAGACUCCUACGGGAGGCAGCAGUGGGGAAUAUUGCACAAUGGGCGGAAGCCUGAUGCAGCAACGCCGCGUGCGGGAUGACGGCCUUCGGGUUGUAAACCGCUUUCGCCUGUGACGAAGCGUGAGUGACGGUAAUGGGUAAAGAAGCACCGGCUAACUACGUG